rnacentral:misc_RNA from 1 species
CAUUCAGUUAGUAACGAACGUUCGCGCCAGACAGACGUAUCCGCCACGCCCCCGCGAAGCCGCCCCCUGAAAAGCUGGGGAAAGCCAGAAAAUCGUAACCGAAGCGAAGCGAGCGCGCGUUGUACGGCAUCGGAGAAUCCGAAAAUCGGAGAAUCGGACAUCGAAAGUUCUGCUUUGGAGUGGAGCAGCGUCGUCGUGACCGAGCUCAAACACAUCCAGUCGCUUUAACCACGGGUCUGCUCUCUUUUGGGAGCAGCUGGUGUCCAUGGAACUAUGCUCGGAUAUAUCAUCGUAUCGCCGCGCCAGCUAAUGCUAAUCCUACGACCAGAUCAGAGCCAUCUGAACACCUAACCAACGAUAAACCCAACUCCCAAAAUUGUGAUCUCUGCAUCGCACUAAAACCUAAACUGAAAACCAUUUGCAUCCAACUUACUGUGCGUGUGUGUGUGUGUGUGUUAUGCCUGUAAAUUUGGUUCGUUGCUAUUAUCCAUACCCGUAAUACCACGUACACACCAUACCACACCUACCCGCCUGAAAUAAGUCCAAGCCUGCCCGCUAACGAUCAUGCAUAAACCAAAGCUAGCGAAUGCUAUAACCGCUGCCGCCAUUGCCUCAUCCAUAUCCACCAAAAACAACAACAACAGCAUCGUCGGCGGCAGCAGCAGCAGCUCCGGUGGCAACAAAUCGAAGCGACCACGCCAGUUUGGCCAAUACUCGAUCGGAGCUGGAGCUGGGGGGCUACUCCGGCCGGACGACUCCGGCUUCGACCACCUCGACCAUUCGUCACUAAUUGGGGAUUCGAUUGAUUUAGAGCACUACAUCAGCGCGAUGGAGGCACGUCGACACGACCAGGAGCCGGAUGUUUGGGCCCAGCUGCAGCAGAAGGAGUCGGACAUCCUUUUGGCCGCCGAACUGGGCAAGGCACUGCUCGAGAAGAACGAGGAGCUGGUGAAACAGCAGGAAAAGCUCAUCGAGGACUAUUCAAGCAAAAUUGAGAAACUCGAGCAGGAGAAGCAUGUGCUGCGCCAGAAAUUGGCGAUCGCCGAGGACGAGAGCGAUCAGCGUGUCCUUGAGCUGCAGUCCGAUCUCACCGAGCUCAAGGAUAAGCUGCAGACCCAAGACAGCGCCAUCCGGCAAGCGGAGAAGGAGAAGACCAUCCUAAUUGAUGAGCUGCAGCACCAGAACACACGGCUCACCGAACAGAUCCAGGAGGCACACGCCACCGAGCUCAAGCUCAGCGCACAGAUCCAGGAGCUGAAGGAUCAGUAUCACUACAGGAACAGCAGCCUGCAGGAACAUGUCAACAGCCUGGAGUCCAUCAAAACAGAACUCAACCUCACCACGGGCAAGCGUCAGGAGCUGGAGCGCCGACUGCAACUCGCCCAGGAGGAGAAGGAGAGCCUCACCUCGUCGCUGGAGGAGUCCUCCGACAGAAUCCACAUGCUGGAGCGCCAUGCCCGCGAGCAGGAAACAAAAUUAGAGACCACCUUACAAGCAUUGGAACGCUCCCAGCGCGAAAACAAUGUACUCAGUGAACGAUUGGGUGCCGACACAAACUCGAGCACUCCGGGCAGGAAGAGCUUGCAAUUCGAAAUGGAAUGCGACGAGGACGAUGGCAGCUACACGGAAACGGGGAAGCCCAACCAAAUGUUCGUGGAAGCCCGAUCCGUUUACAUUCAACUUAAGUCCCUGGUGGAUUCACUAAAAGUUAGCCACGACGACGACUCAGGACUUAACUCCGACAUAUCGCUGGAGCUGGAGUCGAUGGACAACACCAUCUCGAGCUCGGAACGCCACGAGGAUGGACACAUGGCCAUCGAGUUUCGCCAGGGCAUGCUGUCGUCGAUGUCCGACGAGCUGACCCGGUUGCUGCUCAACCUGGACGCUGGCAACUUCAAGAAGAUGCUGGACCAGACGCGCAACCUGGUGCUGGAGCAGGAGGACGAGAUUAAGCGCAGCCACCAGCUCAUACAGCAACUGGAAGCCAAGGUCACGGUAACGGACGUGGAGCUGCAGAAUGUCAAGGAGGAGAGGGAUCAGGCACGCGGCGAUCUCGAGGACAACACGGAUCGGGAUGAGCUGCUGUCCAAGGCGCAGACAGAACGGGAUGCGGCCAAUGAUAGGCGCACGAAGGCCGAGGUUGAGCUGGCCAAGACGCGAGUGGAGCUGAUGCAGGCCAAUAGCCAACUGCUGGAGUCCAUUCAGCAAAAGGUGGAGCUGUCGCAGCAGCUGGAACAGUGGCAGAUGGACAUGCACGAGCUGAUCGACGAGCAGAUGCGCUCCAAGCUGAUCAACAACCGGCGAGCGAUGGCCGCCGAGUCAUCCGCCCCAUCGCCACCCAGCAGUGCCGCCGCCAAUCUGGCCAAGCGCGUGACCAGCUACAAGCUUUGGAGUUUAUUUCAGCGAUAAUUGGAGUAACCUAACGACCCGCUGGAAGGUCUACGCCACCCUUCUGUUCUUGAUGUAGGACGGGGAUCUACAUAUAUAUUUUUAAUAUUUAUAUUUAUACACAACAAACAACACACACAAAUCGGAGAGCCUAGGCAUUAUAGGUAUUGUACUUAAUUGUUAUUUGUAUACUGGAAGCAUUGUCCUUCUUCUGUUCGUAGUGAAAUCUAUCUAAUUACGCUUUAUUAAUUUUAAACACUUACCGCAUAUUCGAUAUGAUUAUUGUACCUAUUGUAAUUACUGUAAUGUAACCGUACUCGUACCUAUGUUUAAACACAAAUCGUCUCUAUUCUCUCUCUAUUUAGUUAAUCCUUAAUUGAUUUUAAAUUCCGAUAUGGACCCCACAACUAAUUCGAAUCGCUAUACAUGUUUUUACAGCAUGCUGUGUUACUUGUUGGGUCCGUUUUGGUCCAAACUGUUAACUGAUAAUCAACAAAAAAAAAAGGAAACAUAUCGCACCUUUAUGUUGGCGGCUUAAAAAGCCUCCAUAUCUCGGGAGAAACUGUUGCGAUUCAUCAAAAUCAAAAAUAAAAUCAAAAUCAAAAUCUCUGGCAAUCGGAAGGGCGCAGGAAUUGUUGGAAACUGUGCAACAGACAAAACUUGCCUUAAUGAACGGACAAUGAAAUUUUAGAUUGUUUAAAUAACAUAACUUACCAAUAAACUUACGAUUAUACCACAA